GACAGAGGGUGCAAACGUUGUUCGGAAUUACUGGGCGUAAAGCGCGUGUAGGCUGCUCUGCAAGUCGGGUGUGAAAGCCCUGGGCUCAACCUAGGAAGUGCACUCGAAACUGCGGAGCUUGAGUCCUGGAGAGGAAGGCGGAAUUCUCGGUGUAGAGGUGAAAUGCGUAGAGAUCGGGAGGAACACCAGUGGCGAAGGCGGCCUUCUGGACCAAUACUGACGCUCAUGCACGAAAGCGUGGGGAGCAAACAGG
rnacentral:rRNA from 1 species